rnacentral:rRNA from 1 species
GCAAGUCGAACGGUAACAUUUCUCGCUUUCGAGAAGAUGACGAGUGGCGCACUGGUGCGUAACGCGUAUACAAUCUUCCUUUAACAAAGGGAUAGCCCAUGGAAACGUAGAUUAAUACCUUAUAAUAUGUAGAGAUGGCAUCAUCAUUACAUCAAAGAUUUUUUCGGUUAGAGAGGAGUAUGCGUGACAUUAGCUAGUUGGUGAGGUAACGGCCCACCAAGGCUACGAUGUCUAGGGGUUCUGAGAGGAUGAUC